GCUGGUGUAGCUCAGCGGAGAGAGCAUCGGCCCAUGAACCGAAGGGUCAUGGGUUUGAUUCCCAGUCAAGGGCA
rnacentral:tRNA from 1 species